rnacentral:rRNA from 1 species
AUACGGAGGGGGCGAGCGUUGUCCGAAUUUAUUGGGCGUAAAGCGCGUGUAGGCGGAUUUUUAAGCCUGAGGUGAAAGGUUGGGGCUCAACCCCAUACAGUGCCUUGGGGACUGGGAGUCUGGAGGCAGGCAGAGGAGUGUGGAAUUCCUGGUGUAGCGGUGGAAUGCGUAGAUAUCAGGAAGAACACCCAUGGCGAAGGCAGCACUCUGGGCCUGUACUGACGCUGAGACGCGAAAGCGCGGGGAGCGAACAGGAUUAGAUACCCUGGUAGUCCGCGCCGUAAACGAUGGAUGCUCGGUGUUGGGGGUAUCGACCCCCUCGGCGCCUAAGGUAACCCGGUAAGCAUCCCGCCUGGGGAGUACGGCCGCAAGGUUGAA